ensembl:piRNA 21ur-5656 ncRNA
UUGAAGAUCACGAUGUUCAAA